rnacentral:rRNA from 1 species
AGAGUUUGAUCAUGGCUCAGAGCGAACGCUGGCGGCAGGCUUAACACAUGCAAGUCGAGCGGGCGUAGCAAUACGUCAGCGGCAGACGGGUGAGUAACGCGUGGGAACGUACCUUUUUGGUUCGGAAACAACCCAGGGAAACUUGGGCUAAUACCGGAUAAGCCCUUACGGGGAAAGAUUUAUCGCCGAAAGAUCGGCCCGCGUCUGAUUAGCUAGUUGGUGGGGUAAUGGCCCACCAAGGCGACGAUCAGUAGCUGGUCUGAGAGGAUGAUCAGCCACAUUGGGACUGAGACACGGCCCAAACUCCUACGGGAGGCAGCAGUGGGGAAUAUUGGACAAUGGGCGCAAGCCUGAUCCAGCCAUGCCGCGUGAGUGAUGAAGGCCCUAGGGUUGUAAAGCUCUUUUGUGCGGGAAGAUAAUGACGGUACCGCAAGAAUAAGCCCCGGCUAACUUCGUGCCAGCAGCCGCGGUAAUACGAAGGGGGCUAGCGUUGCUCGGAAUCACUGGGCGUAAAGGGUGCGUAGGCGGGUCUUUAAGUCAGGGGUGAAAUCCUGGAGCUCAACUCCAGAACUGCCUUUGAUACUGAAGAUCUUGAGUUCGGGAGAGGUGAGUGGAACUGCGAGUGUAGAGGUGAAAUUCGUAGAUAUUCGCAAGAACACCAGUGGCGAAGGCGGCUCACUGGCCCGAUACUGACGCUGAGGCACGAAAGCGUGGGGAGCAAACAGGAUUAGAUACCCCCGUAGUCC